GCUAGAAGCAGUUAAAAUCGGAGCGGACUGGAGCGGAGUGAAAUCCCCGCUCCGGCCUUUGAAUUUAAAACCGCUCUGCGCUCCAACCCGCUCCAACCUAUUUCUUCCGCUCCGCUCCACCACCCGCUCCACUCCGCUCACAUGCUCUGGUCAGGUCAAGGGUCACCAAUGGAGGAGAUUAUUGAUACGCUCCGAAGUUUGGCCGAUGAUGUGGAGAACAAUCGUGUUGAAGACACAGAUGCAGUUGAUAGAGGGCAUGUUCUGGGAGAUAGGAUAGCCGACUUAUCCUCACUGUUCUCCUGCUACCGGACCUCCGCCUGCCUGACUACUCGAUCCUCGCCUAGCCCCCACCUGCACGAUCGCCCUCCCGGCUCCAGACCCCCCCGCCUGCCUGACUACCCGAUCCUCGCCUAGCCCCUCCAGCACGAUCGCCCUCCCGGUUCCUGACCCCCGCCUGCCUGACUUCCCGUCCACCGUCCAGCCCGUGACCACCUGAUUGCCAGCCCGUUACCAGACCCCCGCCUGCCUGACUUCCCGAACGCUCCACGAAUAAAUUCCUUUGCCUUUACCCUGUCUCCGCCUCCCUGCGUCCUGCACUUGGGUCCCAGUAACCCGUACCGUAACAGGUAAACAGAGUGGUAAACAGAGACCCACCGUGGAGAUACCCUUGGAGGCAAUAGGAGGUGACGUAAUUCCCGCCCAUACGCUGAUUGGCUGAUACCUUUGCCACUUUGCAUAUAGACUUUUUGGAAAACGUUUUGGAUUCCGUUUUGGAAAACGUUUUGGAUUCCGUUUUGCCAAAUCUUUUGCAAAGCGUUCGUUUUGCGGAUUGAAAUGUCAUUUGAAUAUCGCAACACACGGAGCGUGUCGAAGUGGAUUGCAAUCACGGGGACGCUAUAGCUUUUCAAUUUGAAUAAAGGAACUCAAAGAAUUUGACAAAAUGUUAUUCGAUUUGUAUUGUUAUAACUUUUGCAAAUUUAAUUGAGGAUUGCAUUGUCACUUUACAUAUUAAAAUACACUUUGAAUAACG
ensembl:lncRNA